rnacentral:rRNA from 1 species
CAAACUCCGAAUGCCAAUUAAUUUAACUUGGGAGUCAGAACAUGGGUGAUAAGGUCCGUGUUCGAAAGGGAAACAGCCCAGACCACCAGCUAAGGUCCCAAAAUAUAUGUUAAGUGGAAAAGGAUGUGGCGUUGCCCAGACAACUAGGAUGUUGGCUUAGAAGCAGCCAUCAUUUAAAGAGUGCGUAAUAGCUCACUAGUCGAGUGACACUGCGCCGAAAAUGUACCGGGGCUAAACAUAUUACCGAAGCUGUGGAUUGUCCUUUGGACAAUGGUAGGAGAGCGUUCUAAGGGCGUUGAAGCAUGAUCGUAAGGACAUGUGGAGCGCUUAGAAGUGAGAAUGCCGGUGUGAGUAGCGAAAGACGGGUGAGAAUCCCGUCCACCGAUUGACUAAGGUUUCCAGAGGAAGGCUCGUCCGCUCUGGGUUAGUCGGGUCCUAAGCUGAGGCCGACAGGCGUAGGCGAUGGAUAACAGGUUGAUAUUCCUGUACCACCUAUAAUCGUUUUAAUCGAUGGGGGGACGCAGUAGGAUAGGCGAAGCGUGCGAUUGGAUUGCACGUCUAAGCAGUAAGGCUGAGUAUUAGGCAAAUCCGGUACUCGUUAAGGCUGAGCUGUGAUGGGGAGGAGACAUUGUGUCUUCGAGUCGUUGAUUUCACACUGCCGAGAAAAGCCUCUAGAUAGAAAAUAGGUGCCCGUACCGCAAACCGACACAGGUAGUCAAGAUGAGAAUUCUAAGGUGAGCGAGCGAACUCUCGUUAAGGAACUCGGCAAAAUGACCCCGUAACUUCGGGAGAAGGGGUGCUCUUUAGGGUUAACGCCCAGAAGAGCCGCAGUGAAUAGGCCCAAGCGACUGUUUAUCAAAAACACAGGUCUCUGCUAAACCGUAAGGUGAUGUAUAGGGGCUGACGCCUGCCCGGUGCUGGAAGGUUAAGAGGAGUGGUUAGCUUCUGCGAAGCUACGAAUCGAAGCCCCAGUAAACGGCGGCCGUAACUAUAACGGUCCUAAGGUAGCGAAAUUCCUUGUCGGGUAAGUUCCGACCCGCACGAAAGGCGUAACGAUUUGGGCACUGUCUCAACGAGAGACUCGGUGAAAUCAUAGUACCUGUGAAGAUGCAGGUUACCCGCGACAGGACGGAAAGACCCCGUGGAGCUUUACUGUAGCCUGAUAUUGAAAUUCGGCACAGCUUGUACAGGAUAGGUAGGAGCCUUUGAAAUGUGAGCGCUAGCUUACGUGGAGGCGCUGGUGGGAUACUACCCUAGCUGUGUUGGCUUUCUAACCCGCACCACUUAUCGUGGUGGGAGACAGUGUCAGGCGGGCAGUUUGACUGGGGCGGUCGCCUCCUAAAAGGUAACGGAGGCGCUCAAAGGUUCCCUCAGAAUGGUUGGAAAUCAUUCAUAGAGUGUAAAGGCAUAAGGGAGCUUGACUGCGAGACCUACAAGUCGAGCAGGGUCGAAAGACGGACUUAGUGAUCCGGUGGUUCCGCAUGGAAGGGCCAUCGCUCAACGGAUAAAAGCUACCCCGGGGAUAACAGGCUUAUCUCCCCCAAGAGUUCACAUCGACGGGGAGGUUUGGCACCUCGAUGUCGGCUCAUCGCAUCCUGGGGCUGUAGUCGGUCCCAAGGGUUGGGCUGUUCGCCCAUUAAAGCGGUACGCGAGCUGGGUUCAGAACGUCGUGAGACAGUUCGGUCCCUAUCCGUCGUGGGCGUAGGAAAUUUGAGAGGAGCUGUCCUUAGUACGAGAGGACCGGGAUGGACAU